UGGGGAAUCUUGCGCAAUGGCCGAAAGGCUGACGCAGCGACGCCGCGUGUGGGAGGACGCCCUUCGGGGUGUAAACCACUGUUGCCCGGGACGAAUAUCCUCUUUAGAGGGGAUUGACGGUACCGGGUGAGGAAGCACCGGCUAACUCCGUGCCAGCAGCCGCGGUAAUACGGAGGGUGCGAGCGUUGUCCGGAAUCACUGGGCGUAAAGGGCGCGUAGGCGGCGCGACAAGUCAAUGGUGAAAGCCCGAGGCUCAACUUCGGGUCGGCCACUGAUACUGUCGGGCUCGAGCACUGUAGAGGCAGGUGGAAUUCCGGGUGUAGCGGUGGAAUGCGUAGAGAUCCGGAAGAACACCGGUGGCGAAGGCGGCCUGCUGGGCAGUUGCUGACGCUGAGGCGCGACAGCGUGGGGAGCAAACAG
rnacentral:rRNA from 1 species